GUUGUCAUCUGGCGUCGUUUGGAAGACGGUCUUCGUUUCAUAAACAUAUACGAAAUAUAAUUGUUUCAUCUAAGAAUUUUCUAAAUGUUCAUCGAAAUUUACUGGCAGAAUUAACAUCACUUUUUCUUCUCGUGUGGCUGCGAGCGAAACAGAUGUAAAAAUAACGAAGUCGAAGACGUGUGAUUCUUUGAUUAUUUAUUAUUUUAUGCAAAAGACGGUCCACAAGCUGACGCCAAACACACGUUUAUCGCGAUAAAUUAUGGAGUUAAAUUGGAUAUCAUUGGUUGGCUUUGCAGUGUAAACAUUCUCAGCCCAGUGCUACCUUCUUCCUUACAUAAUAUCAACAACCUUUGGCCUUUUGAGCAUAAUAGUUGGCAAUAUUCAUUGAACUUUUCCAUCAAUAACGAUCGUUUCUCGCGGAGACGUGUGCGUGGAAUUACUGGCGUGAAAAAAUUAUCUGUAUUCUUGCACGUUACAACCUGUUUUAAAAUUUUAUCGAACCAUAUCAAACAUCGACAAUUAUAUAGAAAUAUUGUUUGUAUUGUCUUUGCAACCGACUGUCACUGGAAUUACAUUGGAAAUAAACUUUCCUGUAUAUACUUCGCCAAGAUCUGUUUCACUGAAGGGCGACAAAAAUUCUUAGACUAUAAUCUACGUUGGAACUGUUCUACGUUGGAACGAUAACAUGCGGGCUCCUUAAUCGACUUCAUUCUUGAUUCAUUAAGAAACCGGCGACACUGUGAAAGCACGGAUUAUACAGAAACUAAGUGGCAUUGUCAUCGGACGAUACUCUAGCUGCUCAGAUUCAAUUCAAACUUUUUGCUGUCGUGCCCUGCGUUGUACUGUAGCUAAUCUUGAUUUCAUUGAAGUUUACUUUGCGAUUAAUCAUACUCUUCAGGGGCCGGCAAUUUCUCAAAUGAAUACAACCUAAAUACUGUAUACUUGUGUUCCUGUAGACAUUGUAUUAUUGAAGCAGCAAUCUGUUUUUAUCGGCGGCGGUCGUGGUUUAUAGCUACUGUGCCGUACUGUGUUACAAACAAAAGUUAGCUGUUAGUCCAGUUCACGUGGAUUUCGCUUGAGUUACUUAUAUCUACCGCCGUGAUUCCCAGCAUUCGUUGAUAUAUUGCACUUGUGAGCGAUUUUGUCAACGCUACAGUGAACUAGCUGAUUUUUUGUCAAAGACGACCUAUUUGUCGCUAACGACAAUACGACUUUGUCUUACCGAAACCGCAAAGCAACGAACGUUGCUGGAAUCCGCGAUUAAAGUAUUUCUAGCUAUAAGUCAUGGUUUUGGCUUUGUUGGUGUUGUAGAAAUAACAAUAACGGCGUUCAGUAUAUAUUAUAGAACUCGGCUAAAUCAUGGCAACAUCACAAACAGAACCGCAAACCGAAUUUUCAAGCUGUGUUCGCAAAGGAAGACGGAACGCUUGUGCAGAAAUCAAGUAUUGUGUAUGUGAAACCACUGAAAAUCAGGCAGAAGGCGCAACCAAGCCUGAGAAUUUGACUGGAUCAUGUCCAAUUCAUCAUGAAGCGGAUAAUAGAAGUUUAUCUUCAGAUAAAAAUUCGCAAUGAUCGAGGUAUUUCCCGCUAAACCGUGGGGUAAUUAUAAAUUUCCAUUCAACUUUAGCUGCACUUGCAGCUGCCGUUUCCAUCAAGUUGAUCUAACUGUCUAAACAUAGAAAUUUCUCAUUAUCUA
rnacentral:lncRNA from 1 species